AUGAAUGAUGACGUGUCCAUUUUUCUUUCUUGCAGACUAAUGAGUUGGUGAUGAGUUUAGAGGACGAUGAAAAGCUCAUUCUGCAAAAUGAACAAACCCUACGAGCUGCUGGCAUUGCAAAUGAAACAGAAGUGGCCUUCUUCAGGAAAGAAGACUACGGUCUCUUCAAAGCAAAUCCCCAAACUGCUUGGUAACCAGUACUUUGUUUGCUGUUUACUUGAAUAACUACAGCAGAGGGGCGUUCUAAUGGAACAGAGGUCAAUGGGAAAUCCAGAAUGGAACCAUCAUGUUUUAAUUUGGGGGUUGUUCUUAAAAUAUAAUUUUCAACCACCCUGGCAUGCCCUUUUAUUUGAAAUGUUUUAUUUUUCUUCUCAUGGUGUCCAUGGACAUUAGUUUCUGAUAUUGUUUAUAAAUGUGCUGAAUAAACUUCUCUGACAGAUGA